AUUGAACGCUGGCGGCAUGCCUUACACAUGCAAGUCGAACGGUAACAGGUCUUCGGAUGCUGACGAGUGGCGAACGGGUGAGUAAUACAUCGGAACGUGCCUAGUAGUGGGGGAUAACUACUCGAAAGAGUGGCUAAUACCGCAUGAGAUCUACGGAUGAAAGCAGGGGAUCGCAAGACCUUGUGCUACUAGAGCGGCCGAUGGCAGAUUAGGUAGUUGGUGGGAUAAAAGCUUACCAAGCCGACGACCUGUAGCCGGUCUGAGAGGACGAUCAGCCACACUGGGACUGAGAAACGGCCCAGACUCCGACGGGAGGCAGCAGUGGGGAAUUUUGGACAAUGGGCGCAAGCCUGAUCCAGCAAUGCCGCGUGCAGGAUGAAGGCCUUCGGGUUGUAAACUGCUUUUGUACGGAACGAAAAGCCCCGGGUUAAUACCCUGGGGUCAUGACGGUACCGUAAGAAUAAGCACCGGCUAACUACGUGCCAGCCGCCGCAGUAG
rnacentral:rRNA from 1 species